CCAUAUCACAUUGGAACACCGGUUCCUAUACAAUCACUGAAGUUAAGCAACAUUAAACCAGUUUAGUACUUAGAUUGGGGACCACUUGGGAAUACCAGGUACUGUAA